rnacentral:rRNA from 1 species
GCUCAGGACGAACGCUGGCGGCGUGCCUAAUACAUGCAAGUCGAGCGGACAGAAGGGAGCUUGCUCCCGGAUGUUAGCGGCGGACGGGUGAGUAACACGUGGGUAACCUGCCUGUAAGACUGGGAUAACUCCGGGAAACCGGAGCUAAUACCGGAUAGUUCCUUGAACCGCAUGGUUCAAGGAUGAAAGACGGUUUCGGCUGUCACUUACAGAUGGACCCGCGGCGCAUUAGCUAGUUGGUGAGGUAACGGCUCACCAAGGCGACGAUGCGUAGCCGACCUGAGAGGGUGAUCGGCCACACUGGGACUGAGACACGGCCCAGACUCCUACGGGAGGCAGCAGUAGGGAAUCUUCCGCAAUGGACGAAAGUCUGACGGAGCAACGCCGCGUGAGUGAUGAAGGUUUUCGGAUCGUAAAGCUCUGUUGUUAGGGAAGAACAAGUGCAAGAGUAACUGCUUGCACCUUGACGGUACCUAACCAGAAAGCCACGGCUAACUACGUGCCAGCAGCCGCGGUAAUACGUAGGUGGCAAGCGUUGUCCGGAAUUAUUGGGCGUAAAGGGCUCGCAGGCGGUUUCUUAAGUCUGAUGUGAAAGCCCCCGGCUCAACCGGGGAGGGUCAUUGGAAACUGGGAAACUUGAGUGCAGAAGAGGAGAGUGGAAUUCCACGUGUAGCGGUGAAAUGCGUAGAGAUGUGGAGGAACACCAGUGGCGAAGGCGACUCUCUGGUCUGUAACUGACGCUGAGGAGCGAAAGCGUGGGGAGCGAACAGGAUUAGAUACCCUGGUAGUCCACGCCGUAAACGAUGAGUGCUAAGUGUUAGGGGGUUUCCGCCCCUUAGUGCUGCAGCUAACGCAUUAAGCACUCCGCCUGGGGAGUACGGUCGCAAGACUGAAACUCAAAGGAAUUGACGGGGGCCCGCACAAGCGGUGGAGCAUGUGGUUUAAUUCGAAGCAACGCGAAGAACCUUACCAGGUCUUGACAUCCUCUGACAACCCUAGAGAUAGGGCUUUCCCUUCGGGGACAGAGUGACAGGUGGUGCAUGGUUGUCGUCAGCUCGUGUCGUGAGAUGUUGGGUUAAGUCCCGCAACGAGCGCAACCCUUGAUCUUAGUUGCCAGCAUUCAGUUGGGCACUCUAAGGUGACUGCCGGUGACAAACCGGAGGAAGGUGGGGAUGACGUCAAAUCAUCAUGCCCCUUAUGACCUGGGCUACACACGUGCUACAAUGGACAGAACAAAGGGCUGCGAGACCGCAAGGUUUAGCCAAUCCCACAAAUCUGUUCUCAGUUCGGAUCGCAGUCUGCAACUCGACUGCGUGAAGCUGGAAUCGCUAGUAAUCGCGGAUCAGCAUGCCGCGGGUGAAUACGUUCCCGGGCCUUGUACACACCGCCCGUCACACCACGAGAGUUUGCAACACCCGAAGUCGGUGAGGUAACCUUUAUGGAGCCAGCCGCCGAAGUGGGGCAGAUGAUGGGGUGAGUC